UACGUAGGGGGCAAGCGUUGUCCGGAAUUAUUGGGCGUAAAGAGCGCGUAGGCGGUCCGAUAAGUCGGCUGUGAAAGUCCAGGGCUCAACCCUGGAAAGCCGGCCGAUACUGUCGGACUAGAGUCCGGAAGAGGCAAGUGGAAUUCCCGGUGUAGCGGUGAAAUGCGCAGAUAUCGGGAGGAACACCAAUGGCGAAGGCAGCUCUCUGGGACGGUACUGACGCUGAGACGCGAAAGCGUGGGGAGCGAACAGG
rnacentral:rRNA from 1 species